rnacentral:rRNA from 1 species
UACAGAGGGGGCAAGCGUUGUUCGGAAUUACUGGGCGUAAAGGGCGCGUAGGCGGCCUUCUAAGUCGAACGUGAAAUCCCCGGGCUCAACCCGGGAACUGCGUCCGAUACUGGAAGGCUUGAAUCCGGGAGAGGGAUGCGGAAUUCCAGGUGUAGCGGUGAAAUGCGUAGAGAUCGGGAGGAACACCAGUGGCGAAGGCGGCUACCUGGACCAGCACUGACACUGAAGCACGAAAGCGUGGGGAGCAAACAGG